AUCAACUUCCAGAGAUUACAAUUAAUGUGCUUAAAAACAACAAUAACAGCAACGACAGAGUGCCAGCCGCCUUUGCAAGCAAGGACGUUGGGAAGUGAACGUAACCGCGUCCUUCCCUCCCGUCCGGGAGCUUCAAGUGCUACUGUGCUACAUCAGAUGUAGAAGUACCAUUUGUGUGAAAAUAGUGUCAUUGGAGUAUGAAAUGCAUUUGUUCAGUGUCUUAUUUCAAGCAUGUGGUGAGUGCUGGGGAGAGACCUGAUGUGGCAGUGCAGAGGAAGAGGCUGUGGAGAAAAGACUUCCAAUCCAGUUCACAGACAGCUUCAGAAGCACACACUGGAUGGCAGCAGGAGCUGGGCAGAGGCCCUGGAAGCCCUUACAAAGGAC